rnacentral:rRNA from 1 species
GUUCCUACGGGACGCAGCAGUGGGGGAUAUUGCACAAUGGGGGGAACCCUGAUGCAGCGACGCCGCGUGGGUGAAGGAGCGUUUCGGCGCGUAAAGCCCUAUCGGCAGGGAAGAAGGAGGACGGUACCUGACUAAGAAGCCCCGGCUAACUACGUGCCAGCAGCCGCGGUAAUACGUAGGGGGCAAGCGUUAUCCGGAUUUACUGGGUGUAAAGGGAGCGUAGACGGCGAUGCAAGGCAGAUGUGAAAGCCCGGGGCUCCAUCCCGGGACUGCAUUCGGGAC